AAUUAAAUAAAUAAGUAGACUAAAUAUUAACAUAUUACGUGAAGACAACAUUUGGCGGUAAAAAAAAAUUAUAAUUUAUUUGUUUUAUUAAAGGGCCUGUUGAUAGUAAUGGAUUCUAAGUUGGAAGUUAAUCGAUUUUGAACACUAUUGGUGCUUGUAUGUCAUCUACAGAAAAUAUUAAUAACUCAACCAAGAGUGCUUUGAUGCAAAACCAAAUGUCGGUUGUUGGCAGUCAUACGCCGAAAAGUGAAGACACUGAUGCUCUCGAAGGUACUACCAUUAGUAAUACCACCAAAUAUAAGAUCAACUUCAAACCCAACACAGAGCCAGGCAGACAGCAAUAUAAUAUUCAACAACAACAUCAGAAAAAUGCUACCCUAGAGUGGAUGUGUUGUGCACCUUGUAUUUGGUUGCGAACUUCGACAACCGUUCAUAAAAUUGCUAUAACGACGGCUACAAUUUUGGUAACGGCCUUGUUGGUUGCAUCACCAAUACUAUUUUUAAUAAGUACAGCUCCUUCGCGCCUACCAAAAGAAUGUUUUUCCAGCACUGAUGAAUGUGUUUCAACAUCUCCUCCCCCUAUAGAAUGCACAGAAAUAAUAUGUCAAGCAGUUGCCGACAGUAUUCAAGGAAACAUCAAUUGGAAUUUGGAUCCGUGCACAGAGUUUAAAAAUUUUAGCUGCUCAGGAAGUAUUCGUACUACAAAGACUGUGCGGAGCAUUCAAGGAACUGUUGACACUCAGAUGCAAUAUCUCCUUCAGCAUAAUACCACAAAGGGGCCUUUUCGAAAGCUUGGACGACUUUUUAGCAGUUGCAUGCGGCAAACAACGAAUUCUUCAACUAUAAAAUUCGUUCUAGAACAGCUUGGUGGUUAUCUCCCUACAGGAACGGUUGGUCCUACUUCAAUAUCAUCUUUGAUUAAAAAAAUGUUCAAAUUGGGUCCAACGCCUCUUAUUGAUAUAUAUUACGAUUUAAGCUACGGCCGCCGUCCUCAAGUGUUGUUAAUAAUAGGCAGACCUGGAACUUCACCGCCAAUAUUAGAGAACAGUAUACGCUAUUCCGGUCCAAAAGCACCACCGUAUCAGUUUAAAAAUGGAAAAUAUAAACUGCUAAAGAAACUACUAGACGACUUUUUACCAAACGAGCUUUCUUCUGAUCAAAAGUCUUCAGAGAAAGAGACGAUUUCCACAUUUAUCGACGAACUAAACCAAAUUCAUUGCCUUAAAAUCAUUUUACAGAUUCGAGUGGAACAUACUCUUCGUGGUUUCUGGAACAGUUCGGUUUUAUACAACAUUUCCUCAUUGCAGAAUAUUUAUCCCCUGCUUAAUUGGACCGAUUUAUUACCAUAUAAAUGGAAUAACCCUAUCGUGGUUCGAAGUCCAGAUUAUAUAAAAGCAAUUGAAGAAUUGCUUGUCAAAUAUUCUACACGCGUUGUACAUAAUUCGAUGCUAAUUCUUUUUACUCUUGGAAUAUUGCCACCAGAUAAUCCAAAUCCAAUAAUAUGUACUCGCGCUACAAUGUGGGCUCUACCCGAUGUAACUUCUGCAAUUUUUGUGACUCACCAUUCUACAAGAGAUAUUAAAAACGCAAUAAAAAGAACCAAUCUUAUUUUCAAAUCACUCAAAGCUUAUUUAAAGCGUGCGCCUUCACUUAAAGGGGCAGCAUUAGUUAAACUUUCGUCACUACGAAUACAAUCUCAACCUUGGAAUGGCUUUACUAAUAUUACUUAUGCAGCAAAAGAUUUGGACUCUAUGGAUAUAUCCUCAGACGACUGGUUUGAAAAUAUAUUAAAAAUAUUUGGCAGAAAUAAAAUCGACCCCACAUCCAUAAAAAUUGAUAAAAAUUCUCACGAUACAUGGGCUUAUCCAAUUAUUUCAAAAGUAUUCUAUGAUACACUAAGCCACUCAAUAGUGGUUCCUUUAUCCGUUAUGCUGGUGCCAUACUUUGAUGACAGAUUACCGCCAUAUCUACAGUAUGCCUCAGUUGGCGUGCACAUUGCCAAAGAAAUUCUACGAUCUAUUACGAAAAGCUUCGAGGAUAAAGCAAUUCGUUGUGUACCCGAAUCAGUCAAGGUUUUCUCAAAUCAUAGUCAAAUGGAGAUACUAAUACACUCUGGAGGAAUGCAAAUAUCAUAUCAUUCAAUGUUAUCUAUAACCGGGCCGCUGAAAGGAAUGGCUCGUUUACCAUCUUUGAAUUUGACUCCUACUCAAAUUUUUUUUUUGGUAACAUCACAAGAGCUGUGUGAGGAGUCUAACUACAUUGGCAUAGAUACAGAAACCGUGGAUUUCGAACACAUGUAAAGUCUCUUGCCCUUGUACGGUGCACGGAUGUCAGUAUUUUCCCAUUUGUGCAAUGACACAACAACAAUCUGCACAAUAUUUGCAAUGGCUGUAAAAUAUGUCAAACCAAAACCUCUGCUAAUUUUCCAAUAACACGUAAAAAAAAUAAUUGCAACCCUGUGCCAGCAGUCAUCCUACAUAAAAACAUAUUUGUCCGUUAAAUUGUUGAGUAAGUUCUUAAUAAAAAUGAAUGAAGAAGGUGUGCCCUCAGCUAAAAAGGAAAAGUAGCAGCCAAAUAAAAAGUGGAAGGAGACGGAGGUGCUUUCAAUCAUAGACUUUUUUAUAGAGGAGGUAGAAAUUGCGGCUCCAAGUGGUCAAUUCCACCCCCAUCGUCAUUCCAAUUUUCAACACAGAAAAUGUCUAUGGAAGAGAAUUGACUUGAAUUUUGAAAAUAUAAAUGUGAAAAAGAAAAGAAAAUUCAUGAAAAAAAAAGAUACUAAAACAAGUAAGGAAGGGCUAAGUUCGGGUGUCACCGAACAUUUUAUACUCUCGCAUGAUAAAGUGAUAAUCGAGAUUUCAUUAUCCGUCAUUUACAUAUUUUUUAAAUACCGUAUUUGUGGAAAAUUUUAUUCCGCUAUCAUCAUUGGUUCCUAAUGUAUAUAUUAUACAGAGAAGGCAUCAGAUGGAAUUCAAAAUAGCGUUAUAUUGGAAGAAGGCGUGGUUGUGAACCGAUUUCACCCAUAUUUCGUACAUGUCAUCAAGGUGUUAAGAAAAUAGUAUAUACCGAAUUUCAUUGAAAUCGGUCUAGUAGUUCCUGAGAUAUGGUUUUUGGUCCAUAAGUGGGCGACGCCACUCCUAUUUUCAAUUUUUAAAAAAAGCCAGAAUGCAGCUUCCUUCUGUCAUUUCUUCCGUAAAUUUUAGUGUUUCUGACGUGUUUUGUUAGUCGGUUAACGCACUUUUAGUGAUUUUAAACAUAACCCUUGUAUGGGAGGUGGGCGUGGUUAUUAUCCGAUUUCUUCCAUUUUUAAACUGUAUAUGGAAAUACCUGAAGAAAACGACUCUAUAAAGUUUGGUUGACAUAGCUGUAGUAGUUUCCGAGAUAUGUACAAAAAACUUAGUAGGGGGCGGUUCCACGCCCACUUUUCCAAAAAAAAUACGUCCAAAUAUGCCCCUCUCUAAUGCGAUCCUUUGUGCCAAAUUUCACUUUAAUAUCUUAUUUAUGGCUUAGUUAUGACACUUUAUAGGUUUUCGGUUUUCGCCAUUUUGUGGGCGUGGCAGUGGGCCGAUUUUGCCCAUCUUCGAACUUAACCUUCUUAUGGAGCCAAGAAAUACGUGUACCAAGUUUCAGCAUGAUAUCUCAAUUUUUACUCAAGUUACAGCUUGCACGGACGGACAGACAGACAUCCGGAUUUCAACUCUACUCGUCACCCUGAUCACUUUGGUAUAUAUAACCCUAUAUCUGACUCUUUUAGUUUUAGGACUUACAAACAACCGUUAUGUGAACAAAACUAUAAUACUCUCCUUAGCAACUUUGUUGCGAGAGUAUAAAAAUGAAGUAGGUAUAUACCACUAUGUAUAUAUACAUAUACCUACAUUUUUUACGUAGGUAGUAGGUUGUAGUAUUUUAAAAAGAGGUAUAUCAUAUAUUGUUUGUUCACGUGUUUUUGAUUACCAAAUAUCAUUGUCAAGAAUAUAUGCAUUUAGAUUUUAAUUUCGAAAAGGAAGAAAAUACUCGCAUUUUCCGUUUCACCACCUCCUACUCCAAACAGUCUAACUAUUUUCCGAAUCGCCUCGUUUUGACCCGAUGAUCCCAAAAUGCUAUACAUACUAGCUAGCCGUAGAUCUACCGAAAUUAAUUUGUUAACAUCUUGGAAUUCCUUUAUUUUGUUUAUUUAUUCAUUCACAUUAGUCGUUACAAUAAUCAAUAAAUUGAACGAAUUGGAAAUGCUCAGAAACAAAAUUACAAAAUUUUGUAUUUUGUUUAAUUUAAAAUUAAUACAAAUAUGAACAAUUGGUAUAAUUUCUUAGGAAAUGGAGAAACUGGUUUUCGCACGAAAACUUGUGUUUCGUACGAAAACACAGUUUUCGCUGAAAACUACUUGAAAACUUACAUUCCACUCAUUAUAAUCAGUGCCUGCUCUAGUUUAAUCGAUGUUUUUGGAAGACAUACUUAUUUUACCGGCCCUAAAUUGUCACUUGAUAUUUGUUUACAUUCCAUAUACAAAUACAGCUGUCACUUGAUAUUCUCAUAUUAAGGGGAUUCUCUUGCUCUUGCAAAACAUUGCACGGUGCAGAAAUUACAGAAUUUUCCUCUUGGUGCAACGGCACAUCAACAAACACACGCAGAAAAUUAUUUGCAAUGGCUGUAAAAUAUGUCAGACCAAAACCCAUGUUUAUUUUCGUGCCGUCAUAUAUCACUAGAUUCUGCAAUGGGUGCUCUCUUGGCCUUGCAUAUUUCGGUAUAUGAUUUUAGCAUUUUGUGUCAUCGUGCAAUCUUGCAAGAGCAAGAGAAUGCCGCUAUUGAUAGUUAUCAGUGAAAACUCAUCGAAAACACACUUUGUCGGUCCGAACGACUUAGAUUCCACAACAUACAAAUGUGUUUUCAAAAUGUUUUCAAUGUCGGUCCGAACAUAGUAUUAGCUUGUGAUAGUCAAAUAAAACACGGCUAGUGUAUUGUAUAAUAAGAAUAUGUUUUGCGUUUCAUUCAAGCAAAUUGGUUAAUAUUCUAAAGAGGUAAUCCCAUGUGACCGUCUGUUUUCAGAGAUUUUUAAGGUUCUAUUCAACGUCUAGUAAACAGAUGAGCUUCAAGUUUAUUAUCAUUCAUUAAUAUACAGUGGGCAGUAUAAAUAUAAAUUUUCAGCAAAAAUAUUGUGUAGAACAUGAGUGUUUUGAACACCCCCGGAUGAUUGGCUUAUUUGAAACAAAAAGAAGUAGCGUCGUCUUAAUUUGUAAGCUUAAGUGCAUGAAAUGGGCUAUAAUCAAAUGAAUAAACCAAAAAUUUUACUGUAUCGAUCGGUAUUCUUAAGGAUCGGCCAAAAAUGGCCGAAUCAGAUUCCGUUGCCGAUCAAUCGGUCGGGCACUAGAUAUCACCAAUACCGAAAAACAAAAAAAUCAUACAAGCCAUACACACACGUGCACACAGAAAUUUAAAAAUAUGCAGGAAAUUUCUGUUUUACCAACAAGUGCGAACGCCGAGCAAAUAAACAAGCAGUAGGUUCGGCACCACUUCCGUGCAAAGUAUGCGAUUGUGUCCACUUACUAAGUAUGUAUUGACGAACUAACAUUUUCUGACAAAUGCACACAACAAAUUUAGAAACAACCAGAAACAACACAUACCAAUGCCAUACCAUAACAAACGGCCAGCCGUACGGACGCAUAGCACGUUAAUUUAAGUCGAGAAAGUUCAACACAGUUCCUGAGUAGCAAAUAAUAGGUUGUCAAAAAAGUCUUCCGGUAUUUUGGCUAGUUGGCGCUGAAAACGCGUAGUUCUAGUUUUAUAGCAUCGGGUCAUGCUACACCUUUUUGGAGAGCUCAUUUCAUGCGCUAACAAGUGUUUGAUUGAUUGUCGUUUCUUUGAAGUCGUUCGUGAGUUAUAGCGUCGCAAACCUGGAGCAAAAUAAAGAGAAAAUACGGCAUAUUUUACAGUACUACUACGAUAAAGGCAAAAAUGCAUCUCAAGCCGCCAAUAAAAUUUGUGCAGUUUAUGAUCCCGAUACAGUUUCCAUUUCCACCGCACAACGAUGGUUUCAACGUUUUCGUUCUGGUGUAGAGGUGGUCGAAGAUGCGCCACGCUCCGGAAGGCCUGUCGUCGAAAAUUGCGAUAAAAUCGCUGAAUUGGUCGAAAGAGACCGGCAUAGUAGCAGCCGUAGCAUCGGUCAAGAGCUGGGCAUGAGUCAUCAAAAAUUCAUUUCAAUUUCAAUAAAAAAAAAAAAAUCAAUAAAAAUACCGCAAGACGUUUUUGAUAAACCUUUAUUCGAGGCUUCAACAAAAUGAUUAACAAAGGAGGAUAUAAUAUGCUCCAAUACGCGCAGACGAAACAAAAACGUAAAAAAUACGCGAAACUAACACACUCAUAAAUUUUACAAAGCUUACCAUCCUAGCAAAAAUUGACUAUGGAUUGCAAUAGCGCAUAUCAUGCUGCUGUCCGAUUUAGCCUUAGGGCCUUUCGAACAACUUUUUAAAUUUUGGAUAAGGAAAUAAAGCUACUUUAAACCCAAAAAAAUACCAUAACUGUAAAAUCAGGUCUUGUGGAGAUGUUGUAAAGUAUGUUAAAGCAAACACAGAAGUGGUAAUCAAAAACUCUAGGAAUCAUAUUACUCCCCUUUUGUUGAUAUGUUCCGAAUCAUUUAUCAACACGCUUUCUGUAUACCCUAAAGGCUCAACUAGCCAACUUAUCUAUAAGCAUUUCUAGAGGCGGCCUGUUCAUUUAUUUAUUGCUGAAGAUAAUAAAUUUAUUAUCUGAUAACAAAGCAUAAGUUCAUAACCUUAACAACCUCUCAGAAGAAAUAUCUAUCAUUAUGACUUCCUUAAUAAACUUCAAAAAAAGAAUUAAGCUUAUGUGGAUCCCAGGCCAUGUUAAUAACACAGCAAACGAGUUAGCAGAUAAAGCAGCCAAAGCGGCCUCAACAUCUCUCCUUCAGCUAUUUAUUCCAUUCCCGAAAAAAACGAAUCAAAAGUGAGAUAUUACCCGAGCUUCUCAAAAAAGUCCAAUACCAAUAGAGCAAAGAAAUUGGAAAAAUAAAUCCAGACAAACACGCAAUAAGAAUACCAACCAAUACCAUAGCAGUAAUGAACAAAUGUUUUAUACGCCUUGAGCACACUCGUCUUACACAGCCAGUGUACAUUUUUGCAUCUCUUCCCCUUUAACAAUCACCCAUAUAUUAAACAUAACCUCCACCGAUCCACCGUACUUUAUCAAGAUCUCAUAUCCAUACUAAAUAUCCCAAACGAAGACAAUGGCAAAAAUAUUUUUAAUGAUUUAAAACUUUUGAAUUAAGUGUAAAGUGAAUUAGGUUGUUGUGGCUCAUUCCAGUGUAAGAGCGCCUCAAAAUAAUCGUUAUAUCAUUUUCCAUUGUAACCUGAUCGGACAAAAUAAUAAUUUUUGGACAUUUGAAUUAAAACAGCCAACAUUUAUUACGAUUAAAAAUUGUUAUAUAUUGGACUUUUAACUAAACUAUUUAAAUCGAAACUAUUUAAAUCUUUUUUUAUGAUUUUAUGCUAUAUUAAAACAACUAACUUUCAAACUUUCAAUACUUAAUAAAGUGAAUUAAGCCUUUUUGCUCUCAAUUAAUAAAUUGUAAUUGUAAUUGUGUAAAAAUAAAAAGUUUAAUUGAA